CCUACGGGGGGCUGCAGUGGGGAAUAUUGCACGAUGGGCGCAAGCCUGAUGCAGCCAUGCCGCGUGUGUGAAGAAGGCCUUCGGGUUGUAAAGCACUUUCAGCGGGGAGGAAGGCGGUGAGGUUAAUAACCUCAUCGAUUGACGUUACCCGCAGAAGAAGCACCGGCUAACUCCGUGCCAGCAGCCGCGGUAAUACGGAGGGUGCAAGCGUUAAUCGGAAUUACUGGGCGUAAAGCGCACGCAGGCGGUCUGUCAAGUCGGAUGUGAAAUCCCCGGGCUCAACCUGGGAACUGCAUUCGAAACUGGCAGGCUAGAGUCUUGUAGAGGGGGGUAGAAUGCCAGGUGUAGCGGUGAAAUGCGUAGAGAUCUGGAGGAAUACCGGUGGCGAAGGCGGCCCCCUGGACAAAGACUGACGCUCAGGUGCGAAAGCGUGGGGAGCAAACAGGAUUAGAUACCCGAGUAGUC
rnacentral:rRNA from 1 species